rnacentral:rRNA from 1 species
AUUGAACGCUGGCGGCAGGCCUAACACAUGCAAUUCGAACGAGUGGCGGACGGGUGAGUAAUGUCUGGGAAACUGCCUGAUGGAGGGGGAUAACUCCUGGAAACGGUAGCUAAUACCUCAUACCAUCAGAUGUGCCCAGAUGGGGGUAGCUUGUUGGUGGGGUAACGGCUCACAAAGGCGACGAUCCCUCGCUGGUCUGAGAGGAUGACCAGCCACACUGGAACUGAGAAACGGUCCAUACUCCUACGGCAGGCAGCAUUGGGGAAUAUUGCACAAUGGGCGCAAGCCUGAUGCAGCCAUGCCGCGUGUAUGAAGAAGGCCUUCGGGUUGUAAAGUACUUUCAGCGGGGAGGCGUUACCCGCAGAAGAAGCACCGGCUAACUCCGUGCCAGCAGCCGCGGUAAUUC